UUAUAAUUGUAUGAACAAGUCUUAGUGUUAUGUCAGAGAGACAUUAUAAUUGUAUGAACAAGUCUUAGUUAAGCUAGAGAUAUAUUUUAAUGUAAAAUUAGCUGCAUACAUGCUACAGCAUUGCAGGUGGACUACACAUAAUUCUUGUUUUGUAUGAUUUUCAAAAUCUUCGGGUUAAUUUAUCAAUGUUUGUUUUAAAUUUUCAUAAAAACAAAAAUGUCAAGUCUGAUUAAUGCAUUUGAAGGGUUUCCACAAACAGAUCAAUUUAGGUCAAAAGUGACUUAAUAUUUUGUUUGCAGGAUUGAAUACACUGUCUAUGGCCGGUUUCUGGUUGAUCACUGUGUCAACAGUCGGGGUGAUUUCUGGUUGUUUGCCAGGUUUAUCACUGUGUCAACAGUCAGGGUGAUUUCUGGUUGUUUGCUUGGUUGAUCACUGUGUCAACAGUCAGGAUGAUUUCUGGUUGUUUGCUAGGUUGACCACAGUGUCAACAAUCAGGAUGAUUUCUGGUUGUUUGCUAGGUUGAUCACUGUGUCAACAGUCAGGGUGAUUUCUGGUUGUUUGCCAGGUUGAUCACUGUGUCAACAGUCAGGGUGAUUUCUGGUUGUUUGCUAGGUUGAUCACUGUGUCAACAGUCAGGGUGAUUUCUGGUUGUUUGCCAGGUUUAUCACCGUCAUCAGCCAGGGUCACUUUUAAACAGGUGUCUACUUGUAGUUGUGGUGUCUUCAUUAAACAACUAUACAGAUCAAUCAGGGUAAAGUGUCUCUCCCAAGGACAUAACAGCAACGAACGGUCUGUUAUCUUUUAUCAAUCUAAGAAACACAAACCAACUCAGGUGUGGAGUGAACCUCCGAUCUGUUACUCGUGUUUAACGUGUUACAUUAGCCUAAUGCUCUACCAACUUUGUUAUCCAGACCCAGAUCCGCUGCAUGAUUUAUUAGAAAUGUCAGAAGAUAGUCCAGAAUUUUCAUACAGCAUGUCAUUUCCUUUCCACUACAUCCUUCACAAUUUCACACUGUUUCAGGUUUAUUAAGGGUAUUUUAUUAUGUGUUGAUGGUUUCUUGUAUUUGAUGCAUAAUUAUACUCUUAACUAACAAUGAAAUAUAGACAGUUGUGACAGAAAUAUUUCAGUUUUUCAGCAUAGCCGUUUAAUAUUCCUUUGGCCCGGAUAUGACGCGACAGGUGGCGUUACUGGUCAGGAUGAAGUAUGUGAUUGGUCAAUGUAGCGGUAAAUGCGAAAUGCAGAUAUGCAAUCAAAAAACGAAACAAAGCUAAGAUUGAAUUCAAGCUGAAUAAGUGGAUGUAUCUUUUCAAAUGACACAUAAUAAAAUUAUAUUCCUGAUUCAAAUGUUGUCUUAUUAUCAACGAAAAUGAUUCAAACUGAUAUAAUUGUGUUAUCUGUGCUGAAACGCAAUUAGUUCAUUAAUUUAUUUCACCAGCAGUUUGACAUUAUACCACCAGCAUUAAAACUAUGUCGUUUAUCUUUUUUAAAGAUAUUUCUUGUUAGAUAUUAACAAGCCCUUUCUCUUAAUAUUCAAACUGAAGUUAACAAAAGGUAAAAUCCUAGUUCAAAUUAGCAAAAAUGAUCUUAAUUCUUGAAUAUCUUUCAUUUUAGCCAAAACAUGUAGGUCUUAUCAUUUUGAUGUUUAGUGUUGAUGUUCAUUUGAUUUUGGACAUUCAUUUAGGGAAGACUUGUAAAUUUGGCUUGGGUCAGAUUAUUAUACGUUCUGAAGGUGUUUUCAGAAAUAUUAAUCCUGACAUAAUGGUAGUUCUUAUUUAAUUGUUUUUUUUUUCACGUUAACAAUAUUGUCUUAUAUGUAUUUUUUGCAAGGAGUUUAAUCUCAUUAAUUUUAGAUGUACAUGCUAUGUUUUACGCUACACAAAUUACUGAUCUGAAAAUAAUGCUGAAUAUUUAUAAGUCAUAGCUACAAAAUAUUUAAUUUUAUAUACACAGGGUAAAUUACCACUAUCGAUCACCAUUUCUAUCAAAGGUAACUUAGCUCACACUAUCUGCCUAAAUUGCUUGUUUAAACAUUUCUUGACAAUUAAUUCACUGAGUUUACUCUCAUUUAGUGUAAAUAUUAUUCUCUAGUUACAGCAAUGCAAAAUAAUGCACACAAUGGUUUUGUUUGAAUAUGAGGUGUUUUUAAAUAUUAACAGGGAUAUGAGUUGUGUUUAUGUUAACAUGGAUAUGAGUUGUGUUUAUGUUAACAGAAAUAUGAGUUGUGUUUAUGUCGACAGCGAUAUGAGUUGUGUUUAUGUUAACAGGGAUAUGAGUUGUGUUUAUGUCGACAGGGAUAUGAGUUUUGUUUAUGUUAACAGGGAUAUGAGUUGUGUUUAUGUUGACAGGGAUAUGAGUUGUGUUUAUGUUAACAGGGAUAUGAGUUGUGUUUAUGUCGACAGGGAUAUGAGUUUUGUUUAUGUUAACAGGGAUAUGAGUUGUGUUUAUGUUAACAGAGAUAUGAGUUGUGUUUAUGUUAACAGGGAUAUGAGUUGUGUUUAUGUUAACAGGGAUAUGAGUUGUGUUUGUGUUAACAGAGAUAUGAGUUGUGUUUAUGUUAACAGGGAUAUGAGUUGUGUUUAUGUCGACAGGGAUAUGAGUUGUGUUUAUGUUAACAGAGAUAUGAGUUGUGUUUAUGUUGACAGGGAUAUGAGUUGUGUUUAUGUUAACAGGGAUAUGAGUUGUGUUUAUGUCGACAGGGAUAUGAGUUGUGUUUAUGUUGACAGGGAUAUGAGUUGUGUUUAUGUCGACAGGGAUAUGAGUUGUGUUUAAGUUAAAAGGGAUAUGAGUUGUGUUUAUGUUAACAGGAAUAUGAGUUGUGUUUAUGUUAACAGGGAUAUGAGUUGUGUUUAUGUUAACAGAGAUAUGAGUUGUGUUUAUGUUGACAGGGAUAUUACUUGUGUUUAUGUUGACAGGGAUAUGAGUUGUGUUUAUGUCGACAGGGAUAUGAGUUGUGUUUAUGUCGACAGGGAUAUGAGUUGUGUUUAUGUCGACAGGGAUAUGAGUUGUGUUUAUGUUAACAGGUUCGUGUUAACAGGGAUAUGAGUUGUGUUUAUGUUAACAGGGAUAUGAGUUGUGUUUAUAUUAACAGAGAUAUGAGUUGUGUUUAUGUUAACAGGGAUAUGAGUUGUGUUUAUGUUAACAGGGAUAUGAACUCACUAACUCAUAAGUUUUGUUUCUGGUCCACUUUGGUUGUGUUCAUUUAUUUUGCCAAGGUGUCUAUAUUAAAGUAUACUGCAUUAUGGUAUGUGCUUAUAUUGUUGUAAGUCUUAAAUAUGUUGUUGAAUUACAAUUAGCAGUUUGUAUAUUAAUAAUUUAUUAAUUGUUAAGGUAGAGGUAACCAAACACCUUUUCACUGUACAGGUAUGUAUCUUGUUUUAGAAUCUUUCUGUAUAUUAUUAUUGAUUUUAAGAUAUUCACAGCAGAUUUCAAUUAUGUGUUUAAGUGCACGUGACUGGUAUGAGUUUUACCUACAUUUAAAUUUAAAAUUAAUUAUCAAUGUUGACAUUGUCACUAGUCACAUGGUUCAAGCCCACAUAGGAAGACAUUGCUUAUCAUUUAUUUCUCCAUAUUUCAAAAUGCCACUAUGCACAAUUUAUGAGAAGGUUGUGUGAAAAGAGUUGCUUCCCUUCAUUCAAAUUAAAAAAUUGAAAACCUGUAUGUGACACCCGUUCAUGAUUUAUUUUCUGUAGAAAAAGUGGAUUAUUUUUUUGAUUUGAUUCUAAUAUUCAGUUAUUUAAAAGUUGCAUUUUCAUUAUAAUACAUACCAGGUAUGCGAGUCACACUUGAUGCGAGACGUUUUUAUCAGAGAAGUCCUAUAUGUUUAACAAAUUACAUUUGACUUGAUCAAGUGUGAUCUUUAAUGUAAGGGAACAUGUCACAGCUGAAUCUUACUAUGUGACAGUAUGUGUUGAUAUCAUUAGAUAUAUAGCUAUUAGACCAUAGGUUUGUCUGAUAUGAUUUCAUUCUCAUCUAAUGGAGCGGCAGAAGGGGAUUGUGACACACAAACUCUAAUCUUAGUUUUAGUGUAGUUGUGUUAAGUUUUCACUGUUUAAGAAAGCAUCUUACAGUUGUACCUUUUAUUUUUCCUGAUAUUGAAAGAAAUAUCUUCAUACAUUUGUAGUUUAAUGUUUUUGUUGUUAAUGUUAGAAGCUGUCUUCCAGAAGAAGGUCACACUACUGUGACCGGUACGUGUAGAUAGUGUAACGAUUGAUGGUGCUAUACUGUGUCAAUAAACACAAUAAUACUAGGCCAUAGUGCUAUUUGUUUGGAUCUAACCAACCCUUAUGUUGUAGUUGUAGUCUUUGUAAUAAAUCCAAGAAGCAAUUAUAAUACAUAAUUAUAUAGCCCACCAUCAUCAGGGCAUGGGCUAUCCAGAUCGCCAUAUAUGUAUCUGUGUGUCGUCGUCUGCCUGUAAACAAUACUUUAGUACAUGUUAUUACUAUAUCUGAGGCAUACUUGAAGCCUAUUUCCAACAUUUCAUUGGUAGGUUUUCCUUGAUCUCUAGUUGUCCCUGAACAACUUUUACUGAUCAGGGAAGCAAAAUGGCCCACAGACAGCCAUCUUUGACUUUGAUGUUGGAAGUUUGUUAUCGCUAUUUCUAGGAAUUAAAGGAAAGGUUUUCUACAAAGUUGUUUUUCAGGUAGACCUUUGAAACAAAAUGGCUGACAGGUGAACUUUUUGGUAUUUAAGGAUGUUUGUAAUAACUUCUCAAAAAGUUCUUGAUGGAUUUUCCUCAGCUUGCUUACAUAUCUGUAUGUUCCACUUGCUUUCCAUUGUUUAAUUAUGAGGAAGAAAGAUCAAAAGGUAGUGAACAAACAGUCUUACGUGGACCCAAGGAUGAUAUUUCAAAGGUGAGCGCCAACUUCCCCCAGGGGUCUCUUGUUUUUAAUUCUGAACUAUAAGGUCAUAUGGUAUCUACAAUAUCAAGUGAUCAAAGUCCUGUUGAAUUGUAGAGUUAAUAUGCUGUAUUAUGAAGACUGGACAUAAGAUGCCCAUAUAUGGUUAUAGUUAUUAAUUUUGUCUUGUCUACAGCAUUUGUCACCACACUAUGGAAGGUUCUAUUUUUUUAAUCCAUAUUGUGUCAUUUUUGAAGGCAUUGUUGGAGUUAAAAUUUGUUCCAAUUUCAUCACAAUUUUUGAUUUGUGGAUGUAUGAUUGAUCAUUGAUAAUUUAAAGUUAAAAUACUUAAUGAUGCAACAAAAUUAUCUUGGCAAUAUUUUUUAUUCCAUUAAAUGUUUUUAAAUUAG